rnacentral:tRNA from 1 species
UCCCUGGAGGACUAGUGGUUAGGCCACAGUGCUCUUACUGCUGAGGUCUGGGUUUGAUUCCCGGCCAGGGAA